rnacentral:lncRNA from 1 species
GCUUUCAGAGGCAAGUCGAUCUAAUAAGGAGGAAGGAUCGAUCUGAUAGAGGCAGAUAGCUGUUGAGUAGGCAACCAACAGAGUCUGACUCUCAGUCUCCUUUGGGACGCCUCUUUGGGUAAGUGUAUGGCCUUCUGGAUUCCCUCCAUCUAAGCCUGUGGGUGUGGUAGAUGGCAGAGGGGAGGAAGCCAAACCAGUGAUGGGUCAGUGGUCAGACCUAGAAAACACUCUAAGUCUCUGUGCAAAAAGAGAUUUUAAACAUUUAUCAUUUGACUUUGACAUAUGAAUUUGAGGAAAACACAGUCCAGCUCAAUAACAGUAGCACAGCUCUUCAGACUGGCCAUACAUGAAGUCCCAUAUUCCCUCAACUUGCUCCAAUACUUGCUGCCACCCAGCUUUCUAAGUUUUGCCAAACUCAUAGGCAUAAGAUAAUACCUUACAACUGUUUAAAUAGGUAUUUCUCUGUAUUUCUAAUGAUUUUAAACAUCUUCAUAUGCUUAUUAGCUUUCUGGGUUUUCUCUUAGGCAAUUUGCUCAUUUUUCUGUUCAAGUCCCUUAUCUUCCUUAAUGAUUUCAGGACUUGCUUGUAUAUUAAUCCCUUGCUGAUUUCAGACAUUGUAAAUAUCUUAUCAUUCUUUAAACUUUGUGCAUGAAAUCAUGAUUUGUAUGUCAUCA